UACGUAGGGUGCGAGCGUUGUCCGGAAUUAUUGGGCGUAAAGAGCUCGUAGGCGGUGUGUCACGUCGUUCGUGAAAACCUGCAGCUUAACUGUGGGCGUGCGGUCGAUACGGGCAUCACUGGAGUUCGGCAGGGGAGACUGGAAUUCCUGGUGUAGCGGUGAAAUGCGCAGAUAUCAGGAGGAACACCAGUGGCGAAGGCGGCUCACUGGCCCGAUACUGACGCUGAGGUGCGAAAGCGUGGGGAGCAAACAGG
rnacentral:rRNA from 1 species